UACGAAGGGUGCGAGCGUUACUCGGAAUUACUGGGCGUAAAGCGUGCGUAGGUGGUUCGUUAAGUCUGAUGUGAAAGCCCUGGGCUCAACCUGGGAAUUGCACUGGAUACGGGUCGACUUGAGGCAAUUAGGGGAGAUCGGAAUUCUACGUGUAGCGGUGAAAUGCGCAGAUAUGUGGAGGAACACCGGUGGCGAAGGCGGGUCUCUGGGCCGACACUGACGCUGAGGAGCGAAAGCGUGGGGAGCGAACAGG
rnacentral:rRNA from 1 species